ACCUGUAGUCUCAGCUACUCUGGAGGUUUAGGCAGGAGGAUCACUUGAGCCCAGGAGUUCUGGGCUGUAGUGCGCUAUGCUGACCCUAUACAGAUGACAAAUUCUGCAUCAGUAUAGUGACCUCCUGGGAGUAGGGGACCACCAGGUUGCCUAAGGAGGGGCGAACAGGUCCUGGUCAGAAACAGAGCAGAUGAAAGCUCCUGGGCUGAUUAAUAGUGGGAUAGCACUUGUGAAUAGCCACUGCACUUCAGCCUGGGCAACAUAGCAAGACUUUGUCUCU
rnacentral:SRP_RNA from 1 species